GACGAACGCUGGCGGCGUGCUUAACACAUGCAAGUCGAACGGAAAGGCCCUGCUUUUGUGGGGUGCUCGAGUGGCGAACGGGUGAGUAACACGUGAGUAACCUGCCCUUGACUUUGGGAUAACUUCAGGAAACCGGGGCUAAUACCGGAUAGGAGCUCCUGCUGCAUGGUGGGGGUUGGAAAGUUUCGGCGGUUGGGGAUGGACUCGCGGCUUAUCAGCUUGUUGGUGGGGUAGUGGCUUACCAAGGCUUUGACGGGUAGCCGGCCUGAGAGGGUGACCGGCCCCAUUGGGACUGAGAUACGGCCCAGACUCCUACGGGAGGCAGCAGUGGGGAAUAUUGCACAAUGGGCGGAAGCCUGAUGCAGCAACGCCGCGUGCGGGAUGACGGCCUUCGGGUUGUAAACCGCUUUCGCCUGUGACGAAGCGUGAGUGACGGUAAUGGGUAAAGAAGCACCGGCUAACUACGUG
rnacentral:rRNA from 1 species